GUUUCCUUCUCCUAUUUACAAGCUAGUCAUUCGAUGUCAGUGCUAACACUCUUUAGCUUCUGAUGAGCCAAUGCCCAGAUUCAUUUGAGAUUUCUUUGGGAACAAGGUUUCGAGAGUGCGAUAUCCUUCAAGGAUCAAACCUGCACGAUUGAAUUUUAAAGCUGAAGCAGACAUCUAUCCUUGUGAACCAGCGGUGAUGGCAAGCAGAACGGUGACUGCAAGCAAAGCGGCAUCAAUGUCUCUGUGUGCAAACGAAGCGGCGAAAACAAGCGGGGGAGAUGUGAGCGGGUCUGCAAGCGAAGCCAAUUUCAGGCAAGUGCAGCGAAGCGACGCAGACCAGCCCCUCCUGGCGAAACGAUGAAUUUAUUUUUCUUUAUUUUGGGCAAAAGUUCAUUUUGUUGACGGCGCCUACUAAGAAAAUUCCUAAACCAUAGUCUUGGGCUAGAGAGAUUUCAGAUUUCGAAUCAAUAGUCGGUAAUUCCAGGUAAGAAGAUUUUUAUUUGUAUAUUCUUUAUUCCCCAAAUUAUUUCUCUCUUCUCCCUUUUUCCAUCGUUCACCCAGUACUUUCUUCCCUAAAAUUUUCGCAAUUUCAGCCGUAGCUACUUAAGCCUUCAAUCUCUUCCUUCCUUCCGUCAUCUUCAUCACCUAAUUCUGAGAAAAAUCUAAAUUUCACACCCGAUUUUCUUUCAAUUUCGUCAAGCCCUAAUUCUUUUACCGCAAAUUCCCCCAAUUUCUUUACCGUAACCUCUUUUCUCCCACCUACGACGAUGAAGCCAACCACACCACUUGCUCCAAUUCUAGCUGCCUACGAAUCCACCGGUAAACAUCGGAAGAAAGGUUGUAUUAUUCAAUUUCACCUUCUCUUGCCUAUUUUCAUCGAAUUUCUUAAUUUCGAACAUAAUACUAAUAAUCUGAAAAUUUGCAGGGGCUGCUAUGGGAUGGAUUGUACCUCUUGUAAUUAUGUUAAUUAUGCUCCUUCUGAUAUUUAAUUUAGGAUUUAGUUGUGAUUGGAAUUAAAUUAUGUUGGAAUUUGGAUUUG